CAUGGCACUUGAAAUGAGCAGUUGUAAAAGCUUUUCCUAAUCCAUCCCUCAGCUGAAGGGUUCUAAUCAAUCUGUUUCUAACAGUGGUGGUGAGCAAAACUUAUAGAAAGCUUAUGUGGGCAGCAGCUCCGAGAUGAGUAUUUGGGCAGAAGGGGAAGCAGCCAUACCAGGGGUUUCAGAAGUUAAAGAGCAGUGGGAUGUAUGAAGCAUAUAGAUUCACCAUGCCUUACACAUCCUAAGCACAAUGUACAGAGCCCUGCAACAGCAGCAAAAAUAUGUAGCAAUUUUGUGGCAGAAUUGAAAGUGGAGGAGGCUGAGACAGACAGCAUGAGGCAUGACAGCCGCUCAAGCUCUCCUAGCUUGUGCAACACAAACAUGAGCAGGAGAAAGAGUGCACGUGAACAGUAUGUUCCUCUCAGUGGAGAAGAAGCACUCCAAAGGCUCACAGAGAGUGUAAACAACAUGUGAGAAGCCCUCUUCAAAAAAGGAGAAAAAAAAAGUCAAUGGCUUACUUCCACUGUAUCUAAAAUUACACAUCAUUGAAAGGCAGAGCUGUGAGAGAUCAAAGACCAUUGGCUUUCAGCAGAGACACCCUGAAGUGUGAAAAGCACCAAGAUAGGAUGGAAAGUUCUAUAUACUGACCAGCAAAGCAUGUGUCAUGACCCCUGGGUUGCCUUCUGGGUAGCCAAUGCUGGAUAGUGCAGCUCAAAGUAAUCCUGCAAGAAGAUUCACAUGAGGUUCUGCCCAGCUUCUUGAAAAAUGUGGAAAAAUUUUUUCUGGGCCCACAAUCUCUUAUCAGUCUGUUAGACAGGAGGACACAGCAAGGUGAUGAGUCUGAAAAUGUAAUGAUUAAAUGGUGUGAUUUGCGAAAGGUAAAACAUAAGAGGAAUAAGCCUUUUUGUUAUUAAA